AUAUACAUGGCUCAGCCGGCCAGAGCAUGGUGCCAACAACACCAAAGCUGUGGGUUCAAACCCUGUAUGGA